GACGAACGCUGGCGGCGUGCUUAACACAUGCAAGUCGAGCGGUAAGGCCCUUUCGGGGGUACACGAGCGGCGAACGGGUGAGUAACACGUGGGUGACCUGCCCUCAGCUCUGGGAUAAGCCUGGGAAACCGGGUCUAAUACUGGAUAUGACUCCAUGACGCAUGUUGUGGGGUGGAAAGCCUUGUGCGGCUGAGGAUGGGCCCGCGGCCUAUCAGCUUGUUGGUGGGGUGANGGCCUACCAAGGCGACGACGGGUAGCCGGCCUGAGAGGGCGACCGGCCACACUGGGACUGAGACACGGCCCAGACUCCUACGGGAGGGCAGCAGUGGGGAAUCUUGCGCAAUGGGCGAAAGCCUGACGCAGCGACGCCGCGUGAGGGAUGACGGCCUCGGUUGUAAC
rnacentral:rRNA from 1 species